UACGUAGGGGGCGAGCGUUGUCCGGAUUUAUUGGGCGUAAAGAGCUCGUAGGCGGUCUGUCGCGUCUGCCGUGAAAACCCGAGGCUUAACCUCGUGGCUUGCGGUGGAUACGGGCAGACUAGAGGUAGGUAGGGAGAACGGAAUUCCCGGUGUAGCGGUGAAAUGCGCAGAUAUCGGGAGGAACACCGGUGGCGAAGGCGGUUCUCUGGGCCUUACCUGACGCUGAGGAGCGAAAGCAUGGGGAGC
rnacentral:rRNA from 1 species